CAAUUGUUUCUUUAUGUGCCUUCCGAAACGACAUUGUGAGUCUUUUUCACUAUACCUCACAACAUGUCGUUCGCUCUUCGAAAAAAAUUGACCUCAUUACAUCUUCUCAGGUAGGUAACAACUACCUCACUUGUUU
ensembl:ncRNA C14F11.26 ncRNA